CUCAGGUAACAUCAAAUCGUACCCCAAACCGACACAGGUGGUCAGGUAGAGAAUACCAAGGCGCUUGAGAGAACUCGGGUGAAGGAACUAGGCAAAAUGGUGCCGUAACUUCGGGAGAAGGCACGCUGAUAUGUAGGUGAAGCGACUUGCUCGUGGAGCUGAAAUCAGUCGAAGAUACCAGCUGGCUGCAACUGUUUAUUAAAAACACAGCACUGUGCAAACACGAAAGUGGACGUAUACGGUGUGACGCCUGCCCGGUGCCGGAAGGUUAAUUGAUGGGGUUAGCGCAAGCGAAGCUCUUGAUCGAAGCCCCGGUAAGCGGCGGCCGUAACGAUAACGGUCCUAAGGUAGCGAAAUUCCUUGUCGGGUAAGUUCCGACCUGCACGAAUGGCGUAAUGAUGGCCAGGCUGUCUCCACCCGAGACUCAGUGAAAUUGAACUCGCUGUGAAGAUGCAGUGUACCCGCGGCAAGACGGAAAGACCCCGUGAACCUUUACUAUAGCUUGACACUGAACAUUGAGCCUUGAUGUGUAGGAUAGGUGGGAGGCUUAGAAGUGUGGACGCCAGUCUGCAUGGAGCCGACCUUGAAAUACCACCCUUUAAUGUUUGAUGUUCUAACGUUGACCCGUAAUCCGGGUUGCGGACAGUGUCUGGUGGGUAGUUUGACUGGGGCGGUCUCCUCCUAAAGAGUAACGGAGGAGCACGAAGGUUGGCUAAUCCUGGUCGGACAUCAGGAGGUUAGUGCAAUGGCAUAAGCCAGCUUGACUGCGAGCGUGACGGCGCGAGCAGGUGCGAAAGCAGGUCAUAGUGAUCCGGUGGUUCUGAAUGGAAGGGCCAUCGCUCAACGGAUAAAAGGUACUCCGGGGAUAACAGGCUGAUACCGCCCAAGAGUUCAUAUCGACGGCGGUGUUUGGCACCUCGAUGUCGGCUCAUCACAUCCUGGGGCUGAAGUAGGUCCCAAGGGUAUGGCUGUUCGCCAUUUAAAGUGGUACGCGAGCUGGGUUUAGAACGUCGUGAGACAGUUCGGUCCCUAUCUGCCGUGGGCGCUGGAGAACUGAGGGGGGCUGCUCCUAGUACGAGUGGACCGGAGUGGACGCAUCACUGGUGUUCGGGUUGUCAUGCCAAUGGCACUGCCCGGUAGCUAAAUGCGGAAGAGAUAAGUGCUGAAAGCAUCUAAGCACGAAACUUGCCCCGAGAUGAGUUCUCCCUGACCCUUUAAGGGUCCUGAAGGAACGUUGAAGACGACGACGUUGAUAGGCCGGGUGUGUAAGCGCAGCGAUGCGUUGAGCUAACCGGUACUAAUGAACCGUGAGGCUUAACCUU
rnacentral:rRNA from 1 species